GCAGAUAUAUAUUUUUUAAAGAAUGUAAAAAUCUUAAGAUCUGCUUUACUGAUAUUUUCCACUGGCUAUGCAAGCAGGCAUCACGAAAUAGUUAAACAUAAAGAAAGCGAAAAAACAAAUAAUUGUUGGGAUUCAGCUAUAAAAGAUCCAGUCCAAUCAUGGAUAUGCGCACUGACAACAGAUGUAAAUUUUGCACUCUGCUAAAGUCACAUGUCC